UCCUACGGGAGGCAGCAGUGGGGAAUAUUGGACAAUGGGCGAAAGCCUGAUCCAGCCAUGCCGCGUGUGUGAAGAAGGUCUUCGGAUUGUAAAGCACUUUAAGUUGGGAGGAAGGGCAUUAACCUAAUACGUUAGUGUUUUGACGUUACCGACAGAAUAAGCACCGGCUAACUUCGUGCCAGCAGCCGCGGUAAUA
rnacentral:rRNA from 1 species